UGCAAAUGCCCAACGGCCUGUGAGAAUCCCCUUCGCCGCCGCCUGGGCUUCCACGGCCUGAAAAGGGCUGGCGGCCGGGCCUGGGUGGGGGGAGGCGGCCACUGCAUAGGGAUGAGCUGUUGUCCUGGAGCGCCCGGGACAGAGCGCCAUUGUCUGUGCUGCCGUCGUCUGAUCGCCAGUGGAGUCAGCCAGCCCGGGAGGAAGGCGGAGGGUGACCGGAACUAGGCCUUGGGGCGCAGAGAGGGCACUGCUGGUCCAACUUGGAAUCCCUGCACAGCAUUCUGACCUGGGGCUGCACAGCCUCAUGGAAACUCCUCCAGAGACCUCAAAAGCCACCUCUGAAAGAAGGAGAGCCCUCAGCUGGAGAAGUUGCCCCCGCCCCACACCAGCAUCCCCUCCUUCCCAGCUCAGCACCAUCCAUCUCCGUCUCUCUAGAGCAAGGAAUGUGCUCCAGGACACUGUGGGGCUUGUUCCCAAUCCCCUUCUAGCUCAUUUCACUCGGGCUUUUAUAGAUUCACCUCCAUCCCAUGGGCUGCUGUCUGGGUUCUGGCUCUGAAGACACAGACAGAGGUUUCCCCCUCCUCCCUGCAAUUCCUCACACUUCAUUUUGUCCCAACAGC